rnacentral:misc_RNA from 1 species
UUGAUUGAUUUUGUUUUUUUCUCAGACUGCAAGAAUGUAUCAAGAGUUUGGACCCUCGGCGGGCAGGCUCCCCCUUCUUUUCUAUUCUCCCCUGAUACUCAUGGUCCUACCCCUGACAGGGGACAGGGCCACACACAUCGGAAAGAGAAGAAGAGGAAUCGCAGGGUCAGUGAGAUUCACACCUCACAGAAACACCCACGUCCCGCCGAAGCAACAGGUCGGUAUGCAAGGGUGGGAGUCCGCGCUAUAAGCGCGGGUACUCGGUAAUGAUCCUUCCGCAGGUUCACCUACGGAAA